CUACUGGGGUAUCUAAUCCUGUUUGCUCCCCACGCUUUCGCACCUCAGCGUCAAUACCAGUCCAGUGAGCCGCCUUCGCCACUGGUGUUCUUCCGAAUAUCUACGAAUUUCACCUCUACACUCGGAAUUCCACUCACCUCUCCUGGAUUCAAGCGAUGCAGUCUUAAAGGCAAUUCUGGAGUUGAGCUCCAGGCUUUCACCUCUAACUUACAAAGCCGCCUACGUGCGCUUUACGCCCAGUAAUUCCGAACAACGCUAGCCCCCUCCGUAUUACCGCGGCUGCUGGCAC
rnacentral:rRNA from 1 species